UACGAAGGGGGGCAAGCGUUGUUCGGAAUUACUGGGCGUAAAGGGCGCGUAGGCGGCUUAUCAAGUCAGGCGUGAAAUUCCCGGGCUCAACCUGGGGGCUGCGCUUGAUACUGAUGAGCUUGAAUGCGGGAGAGGAUAGUGGAAUUCCCAGUGUAGAGGUGAAAUUCGUAGAUAUUGGGAAGAACACCGGUGGCGAAGGCGGCUAUCUGGCCCGUAAUUGACGCUGAGGCGCGAAAGCGUGGGGAGCAAACAGG
rnacentral:rRNA from 1 species